rnacentral:lncRNA from 1 species
AAACUCCGACGAUGCUCUUUCCAACCGCACAGAUGCCUGCGGCUGUUGCUGUUGCUGCAUGGCCUGCACCGCUUCAGUGAGGCUCCUGACCUGCUGAACCAGCAGGUCGAACUACUCCAUGCCGACUGCCGUUGUCGGAGGGGAAGGAGCCUGAGAAACUGGAGACAAAGUCGGAGCCGGUGGAUCUUGCUGAGAUCUGGCCAUAGAGACCGUAGAUCGCCUGGUGGAUGCCUUUCGGGGAGGCAUCAGGUUGGGAUCUGAUCAGAGAAGAAGAAAAAGAUGUCGAAGAAGAUGACCAGAGAUAGUCCCAUUGAGUACUCCUUUAAGAACAAGGGUCCUGCAAAGACAUAGCCGCCCUUCCUCUAGCGUCAAUUCUGUUGGUGCAA